UUGUUGCUGCUCUGCCAUAAUAUGACAGUGUCCCAAAAUGCUAGUGGCCUCUCCACCAGCUCACUAGCCCAAUCUUUUCACCGCUUGGUGUUAACUGGUCGAAGAAGUGGAUUCCUUCUUACUGCUCUGCCAUAGUAACCAAGUUUGUGGAGAUACCUCACAGCUAUUCUGGGAUUGACAUCAACUUGUUCUGCUAUGUCAGAGGCCUUACAAUGAGGAUUAUCCUCCACACUUCUCUAAGCAAAGAAAAGGAUCCUGUCAGAGGGCCCUGGUUAAUCUGGGCUAGGUGAUGCAGACCCCUUACACUCUCUUGUGAAUUUCACAAUCACUCUAUCAACUGUAGAAAGCGGGAUCCCAAGGUUUUUUGUGAUUUUACGCUGACUAUGUCUACCUUCUGAUUG